rnacentral:RNase_P_RNA from 1 species
AGAGUAGAUCGGAUGAUCGCUGGUCCGUUUUUGCGGACGAGAGGAAAGUCCGAGCUCCACAGGGCAGGAUGGUCGCUAACGGCGACUGGGGGUGACCCUAAGGAAAGUGCCACAGAAAAGAUACCGCCCCGGGGGAUCGGCAGUGCGCCAUCUCUCGGAGUAAGGGUGAAAAGGCGAGGUAAGAGCUCACCAGUUUCCCGGGUGACCGGGAAAGCUUGGUAAACCCCAUCCGGAGCAAGACCGAAUAGGAGAACGGUGAGAGUGGCCCGCUCGAAGUUCUCGGGUAGUGUCGCUUGAGGCAGCAGGCAACUGCCGCCCUAGAUUAAUGAUCAUCAUCUUUCUGCGGGGAGACUCCGGGAAGAAACAGAACUCGGCUUACAGAUCUACUCUGACG